CGUGCAGCGACUGCACGGCCACUUUGGCGGCUUUCACCGUCUCGAAAACAACUUUGGCAAUCCCCAGGUGCUUCUUGUUCUUCGGAUUGUACAGGAUCUCCACCUCCUCGAUGUCUCCGAAUUUCUUGCACAUGUCGUGCUCGGGCAAUUGGCUGGUUAACAGCAGCAGUUCGGCGGGCCAAUCAGAGCGCAGCAGCAGAGGAGCUGUCUGCUAUUAGAAGCACGGCUCAGGAGUCCUUCAACAGAGAGCAGAGAGAGGGGGCCGAGCGCUCUCGGCAGCCAUUUUCCUGAAACAGGACUCAAUGGCCUAUAUGGGUUUCCUUUGUUCCAAAAGGGAUCUUACACUUGAUUUCCUCAUCUCUCACGGACUAUGAUAAAACUAUGAUUCCUCCUUUUAAAGGAUUGAGAAGAAGGAAGAGAAUGUACUGGAUGUAAUACCCUGUGACAUUUUGAGCCUUUUUUCCUCUGCCUGGAAUCCAUCUUUGUCUUAACUAGGUCAUGGCACACCCAUAUAAUAGCAUUUACGUUUCUUAAGUGAAAAGUAAACCAAAUGUUGUGAAUAAACAGGGUUAUGGUUUUGGAGAUGUUGAGUUUAGAGACAAGAAAAAAUCCACAGUUAAAGUGUGACAAUGUGUGAUGGCUGGUUGUCUGGGCCAUUGCACUUAUGGCCUUGUAGGAUAUGAGUAGCAAUGACAACGGUUAACACCCCGAUGGCGUGUGUUGCACCCUGCCUGCAAACUGUGGAGACAACUUCGUGCACGACUAGGUUUGUGCUGUCCACUUGCCAUUAAGAAUCAAACGCGUCCAAAGUGUAAACGCAGGCUUGACCUUGCUUCAAGGGCAGUUUUCUUUCUUUCUUUCUUUUUUCAGUUUCGAAAGGAGCACAGUCAGGUUGUCGUUUGUACAGUUUUUCAACAACGAUUUUUUUCCCCUUUUUUUUGUUGAAAGAUAGAUCAGAGGAAACAGAUGGAGGGAAAACUCUUAGGGUGAAAAUAUUUACCUCAGCACUUUGGUGAAAUGCAGUGAACAGGCCUAAACGCAGGGGCAGGAGGAACGUUUUCAGCUCCAUCUUCGGAUCCUCUAAUAUUGGCAUAAAUAAGGGGUGGGAAAGCGUCUCCUGCAAAGGAAGGAAUCCAUUAGCACGACACAUCUAGAGCUCGUUUGAAAAACUUUUUUUUUUUUUUGAUCAGUGGUAGGGGCUUUGCCUCUCAGCCAGCGAAUAUGCAUCUCCAAGCAUCAUCUGUGUGGGCAAUAUGCAAACCAUCUCCUCUCUCUCUCUCUCUCCUUGAAGACAGGAUUGCAGUCAAGUAUAACCUCUUCUAUUUCGACAUUUUCUAACUGAGCUACAGCAUUAUAAAAACCACACAAGGAAAUGUUGUUUUGAAAGGUAAUGGAUUUUUGAGCUAUUUUUCUCUAAAUGUGCCAGUUUAUGCUUUUACAUGCAAGUAGUUUAUUUCUAGAGGACAGACAACACGAACAGUACUUGUUGUUAAAUGACGUUACCAGCAAAACUGUAUUGACUUAAAUGUAACUGUGUAACCCAUAGAUUUUUCUUUUUGGAUUGAUAGUUGCAAACUUACAUUUAGUAUUCAAAAACAUGUAAUCCAAGUCUUAAACGAGCACAUGAAUCUUUUGGGGAGGAAAUCUUGUAUAUUUCACUGCUUCCCUUUGUCCAAAGAGACCUUAUUAUUGGUGCUGUGUAGGCUACACUUGCUCAAUUGGUUUUUCUCUGCUGUUCUCCUGUCUCAAAAUGGCUUCUUUACAGACAAAGGAGAGCACUGUGCUAUAAAAUGUUGCUGCGCCAUAACUGGGUGAGGCUCGCUCGGUCGGGGGAGGGGGAGGAGGAGGAGGAGGGGGAGGGGGUUGAGGCUUUUGACGAGGACGCUUCUUGGUGAUUCAACAGGAAGUCUUAACAUCGAACGACACGGGGGUGAUUUCUUCGUUUUCUUUCUUUUUUUUUGUACGAAUGGGCUCAAGGAAAAAGAAGCAGAUACGAAGAGAAACAGUUGAGAGUGCGUGUAAAAGGAAGGAAACGCUAAUAAGGCUGCGCAUUCAGAACAGGCUUUCGGUUGCUGGGGCUGACUGCCCCCCCUUGGCAACGGCAGUAAUCCGAGAGCCCUGGACGGUUGCCAUGAGAGAGCUCGAGCGCGUUGCUGCAACCCCCCACACUGCCAUAUAAGGUCAUCAGGAAUCCUCCGCUCAAGCCCUGUUUUGUGUCUCCUUCGGGCUUCCGCGCGUGCUCUCUGGCCCGAGACAAAGACUAAGUGCGACAUCAGAUAACAUAACGUUUAAAAAAGAUGGCGGCUUUAUGGCGUGUUCUCUAAAGGAGCCGAAGGGGCUUUAUCCACGCUGUUGAAAACGGCUCUGCUAGUUCUGUGUAGGUGUGAGUGCGUGUAGUCGGAAUGUGAGAGGCCUGUUUUUCUCGUUAUACGCUCCCAGAUCAGCCUGCCAACUGCGCACGUCCCUCCAUUAAGCCAAGUCACGAGGCUGUAAAAAAAACAACAACCCCCACCCCUCUGCGCGAAGGAGACAAACUUGUGAAUAAGGUUUUAAUGUCUCUAACACAAGUGGAAAAAAUGUGCCUUUAGAUACGGCGAGGUUAUUUAUAGGCCUUUGUUUAAAAAAAAAAAGAAAGAAAGAAAAAAACCGGCUCGCGGGUGGGGGUUGUUGCGCCAUUCAGCGUUGCGCGCCGCUGACAGACUGGAAUAUUCCACACAGACAGAGGAUUGGCCUCUCUUCUGCUGGACAGCUGUCUCUUUGCUCGGCGAAAAAAAAACAACCCUAUUUUUUUUUUUUUUUUUUUUUUUUGACAAUUGCUCUUUGUUAAUUAACUGAUGAAAACAGGGGGCUUUUACACGUGUGGAUAUUUUGUACACCUACAGGAUAAUUUAAAAUGCUUUUUUAUUAUUAUAGGUGAUUCAAAUGUUAGGCUUCAUCUUCUCUUUGUAAGUCAAACAAGCACUCUCUUUUUCUUUAUUUUUUGUAUUAUUCAUUUUUCCACAGCUUGUGCUCAAACCCAUAGCAGCAUAUAGUGUGUGGGCAUGAGGACGAGCUGUCUGUGGAGAAAAAAAAAACCCAGGAAGCCAGACAAAGCUGCUCAGUGUCCUUUCUCUGUCUCUCUUUGUAUGUUCAGCCUUUUACGCUGAUGGAUUGUUCACUGAAUCAUUGUGAAUCAAACCAGGUAUCCAUUUUUUCAUUAUUCAUGGUACACUGCUAUUCAAUGAUUUUCAUGCAGAUUGGUGGUGCUGUACUAAUUUGAUCUAAAAUUGUAUUUUUCUUAGACAUUUGCAUGUCUAGUGUAUUACUGGCGUAACAUUCCACAGUAUGGUUUGUGAUUUAGUUUAUCACUUUGCAGUAUGAUAACCUGUCUGUGUGUCUGAAAUACUUGAAUAAAUAGAUCAUACACUCA